rnacentral:rRNA from 1 species
UUGGCGGACGGGUGAGUAACGCGUGAGCAACCUGCCUUUCAGAGGGGGAUAACGUUUGGAAACGAACGCUAAUACCGCAUGAGACUACAGUACUACAUGGUACAGUGGCCAAAGGAGCAAUCCGCUGAAAGAUGGGCUCGCGUCCGAUUAGAUAGUUGGCGGGGUAACGGCCCACCAAGUCGACGAUCGGUAGCCGGACUGAGAGGUUGAACGGCCACAUUGGGACUGAGACACGGCCCAGACUCCUACGGAAGGCAGCAG